rnacentral:rRNA from 1 species
AAUAGAUACCCGGGUAGUCCACGCCGUAAACGAUGGAUGCUAGCUGUUAUGCGUAUCGACCCGUGUAGUAGCGAAGCUAACGCGUUAAGCAUCCCGCCUGGGGAGUACGAACGCAAGUUUAAAACUCAAAGGAAUUGACGGGGACCCGCACAAGCGGUGGAGCGUGUUCUUUAAUUCGAGGCUAAGCGAAGAACCUUACCAGGGCUUGACAUCCUUGGAAUUUCUCUGAAAGGAGAGAGUACUUUAUUGGACCAAGUGACAGGUGCUGCAUGGCCGUCGUCAGCUCGUGUCGUGAGAUGUUUGGUUAAGUCCAUUAACGAGCGCAACCCUUAUGAAUAGUUGUAUUUUUCUAUUCAGACUGCCCCGGUAACGGGGAGAAGGUGGGGAUGACGUCAAGUCCUCAUGGCCCUUACGGGGCUGGGGCUACACACGUGCUACAAUGGCGGUGACAAUGGGAUGCAAAGGGGUGACCCUUAGCAAAUCUCCAAAAGCCGUCUCAGUUCGGAUUGGGCUCUGCAACUCGAGCCCAUGAAGUUGGAAUCGCUAGU